GUCCCCACUCCCUAAAAGAAGGCAUCUGAAAGUGGACUAUUUUGACUGUGUAGCAGCAAAUAAUGUUUCUGCCCAAUGACAGACUUAGGGAGAAAAAAUAGAAGGAUUGGGUAACCUGUCUAAGAUGGACAUAGGAAAUCUCCAAGUGAUACACAAUCAGCUGACAUUUGUAAAAUAAAAGAGAGAGACAGAGUAGCUGCAAUGUGAGACUUGAGUUCAUACAGUCUGUGUGGCUGUAGGGGUAAAGACAACGGUGUGGCUACCAGUAUCACAACAAAGAGCCACAAAGCUGGUGAGGGGUCUGGAGCACAAGUCUUAUUAGGAGAGGCUGAGGGAACUGGGAUUAUUUAGUCUGGAGAAGAGGAGGCUCAGGGGAGACCUUAUUAGCGCUCUACAAUUACUUGAAAUGAGGUUGUGGUGAGGUGGAGGUCAGCCUUCUCUCCCACCUAACUAGCGAAGGACUAGAGGGAAUGGCCUCAAGUUGCAGCAGGGGAGAUAUGCAUCUCGCAUGGCACUACACGAUGGAGAAAGGAGAGGCACAAAUUGUCCCAGGUGCUGCAGUUCUGGAGGCAUGUACUGGUCAGUGAGUGGGAAUCCAUAAGCACAGCUGCAAGGCCCUGAGGAGAUGCAGGCAGGGAAGAGGUACAAGAGUGAACAUAACUCUAUUCCCUCCAGAAGGUGAUGUGCCCAGACAGAGGUGACCAUGGGAAAGGAGUGAUUUAAGGAACAUGUGGAGUGGAAGUCCUGUUGUUACUCCACAGAAUAUGGGCAGACAGGCAGUAAAAAUAUGGAAGAAGCAGUAGAGGAGCAAGUACCCUUCCCCCAGAAGAGCUGGAGCUGGCAGCAAGCAUGCUCAAGCUUCCCAUCUCCCAAAGGUGACCACUGCAAACCUCAGAGGGGUGGAGAUCUUUCCAGAUCACCGGCUUCAAGCGUGAUUCCUUCCUUUCUGCUGUGCUUCGUUCUCCUUUGGCUUAGUGGCACAAAAUCUUACAGAAGCAGACUUGUCGAAACUGAGCAUUCUUGUCUUGUACCAACAAAUAUGUAGCACAGCCAUUUUCCUGCCAUUUUGCUAAUUCUAGUUCUGGUACCAGUAUAAAAUGAAAACUAAAAACUGUAGUCACACAUUCAUUUUUGUUAGAAGAAAUCACGAGAAAGUUUUCUCUGGG
rnacentral:lncRNA from 1 species